AGAGUUUGAUUAUGGCUCAGGAUGAACGCUGGCGGCGUGCUUAACGCAUGCAAGUCGAACGAGGUCCAACCUUCGGGUGAAGACCGAGUGGCGAACGGGUGAGUAACACGUGGGGAACCUGCCCUUCUCUCUGGGAUAACCUCGGGAAACCGAAGCUAAUACCGGAUACUCCUUGCGGACCGCAUGGUCUGCUCGGGAAAGCUCCGGCGGAGAAGGAUGGCCCCGCGGCCCAUUAGCUUGUUGGUGGGGUAACGGCCCACCAAGGCGACGAUGGGUAGCCGAGCUGAGAGGCUGAUCGGCCACACUGGGACUGAGACACGGCCCAGACUCCUACGGGAGGCAACAGUGGGGAAUCUUGCGCAAUGGGCGAAAGCCUGACGCAGCAACGCCGCGUGCGGGAUGAAGGCUCUCGGGUCGUAAACCGCUUUCAGCAGGGAUGAAAAUGACAGUACCUGCAGAAGAAGCCCCGGCUAAAUACGUGCCAGCAGCCGCGGUAAUACGUAUGGGGCAAGCGUUAUCCGGAUUCAUUGGGCGUAAAGCGCGCGUAGGCGGCUUGUUAAGUCAGGCGUGAAAUCCGGGGGCUCAACCCGCGGCUUGCGUCUGAAACUGGCAGGCUUGAGUCUGGUAGAGGAAAGUGGAAUUCCUGGUGUAGCGGUGAAAUGCGCAGAUAUCAGGAGGAACACCAGUGGCGAAGGCGGCUUUCUGGGCCACGACUGACGCUGAGGCGCGAAAGCUAGGGGAGCGAACAGGAUUAGAUACCCUGGUAGUC
rnacentral:rRNA from 1 species